rnacentral:misc_RNA from 1 species
GUGAAUCAUCAAAUCUUUGAACGCAUAUUGCACUCUCUGGUAUUCCGGAGAGUAUGCCUGUUUGAGGGUAAUUAAAAAGAAUCUUUAACCAAUUUUUUUGGUCAAAGGAAAUGAGUUCUACGUGUUUAUAGCGGUAGCUUGAAAUAAAUGGUCAAGUCUUAUAUUAGUCGAGACGCGUAAUAAUAUUAUUUCGUGAAAUUUUCGUUAUGUGACUAUCAAGUUUUGAGGCAAACCACUUU